UACGUAGGGUCCGAGCGUUGUCCGGAGUUACUGGGCGUAAAGCGCGCGCAGGCGGCGGUGCUGGCCCGGCGUGAAAGCCCCCGGCUCAACCGGGGAGGGUCGUCGGGGACCGCACCGCUUGAGGGCGGUAGGGGCUGGUGGAAUGCCUGGUGUAGUGGUGAAAUGCGUAGAGAUCAGGCGGAACACCGUGGCGAAGGCGGCCAGCGUGG
rnacentral:rRNA from 1 species